UGGGGAAUUUUGGACAAUGGGCGCAAGCCUGAUCCAGCCAUGCCGCGUGAGUGAAGAAGGCCUUCGGGUUGUAAAGCUCUUUCGGCCGGGUAAGAAAUCGUGGUCUCUAACAUAGGCCAUUGGAUGACGGUACCGGACUAAGAAGCACCGGCUAACUACGUGCC
rnacentral:rRNA from 1 species